GCAGGCGGCCGCGUGGCUGAGCCACAGCCAACUUCAGUGAAAAUCAACAGGUGUGCACAGAUGUCAGGUGACCUACCCUUGUAAACAUUUGGGUGGGUGUUUGUUUACACCCAAGAUAAUGAAAAAUAACUUGAAGCUACAGGUUUGCUGAUGUCAUGGCAGCGCAUACAUAACACCAAGCUCAAGAAAUAGCCUCCCAGCAGAAAUAAAUACGGUCUCUCUAAAACCCCAAACACUGAAGUAUUUAUCUUACUAAGUUAAAUUAAAUUAUUCCUAUAAUAUUCAUUAAAAUAACUGUAUUGUUGCCUCUUACUCAUUAAUUCUGAUCCACAGAAAGCAAGUCAUGAUCUUCAUCAAUACACGAGGUUACCAACACCUUUGCUCGCUCAGCUGUUGCACUAGUUAGGUCAGGAACAGUCUGCCUAACACUGACUCGUCUGCCUAAUACUGACUCGUCACCUUUCUGCGAUCGAAAUUCUUGUUAGGAGGGGGGUAUCAUGGCCCUUCUGGAAACCUUUUUUUCUUUUCAUAUUGAGUAUUUUUCAUUAACAAGCAUUUUCACAUCAAUUAUAUUAAUUAUGGUAAGCGUCUUAGAUCUACCACUUUGUGCAAAAAGAGACAUGUACACUUAAAAGAAUGUUUGCGUGUGGAUAUUUUUUUUCGUUUGACAUUUUGCGUGCGCAGUCCUGGCGGCGGCGGCGGCGGGACACGUGCGUCCAAAGGCGGACGUCAGUCUGUGGGAGGUGCAGACUCUGUGAACACGACCAUAGCUCGCGCUGACCCACGCCUCAGCUUUGCCUUAUAUCGGCGGUCACUGGAAAAGGUUCCAUUGCUGUUUUGCCUGCUUCCUACGACUCGAAGCUCUUCGGGACGGAAGCAUCGCAUCAUAAUGGUAUGGGAAUGGAGUUUCAAUGGAAAUUCACUCAAAAAAAUCUUCGGGAAUGGGAUGGUCGAAACUUUCUACUGCUGCCCGCACUUCGCCCUUCUGCUAGUGGCGGUAACCCUGCCCGCCGUUCCGUGCCUGCUGGAGCCUCCUUUUACUUAUAUUGUGGACGACCCUACGACGCUAGAUCCUCGGCCCUUCAGUGCGACUCUCUUGCAAAAUGGCCCUGACCAACUCGGAUUUUGGCAAGUGGACUAUCUAUGAUCUUAUGUGUAUAGGUUGUCUUUUUUUAAUUUAUCUCAGAUAUUUCCAACUAAUAAAGACACAUCCGUCAGCCGCCUCCCCAUAACACAGGAACACCACUGACUCAUGUACCCCACAGGCGCGUUCCCGCACGCCAAGGGUCACGGCAUUUCCCUCCAAUCCAUUUGGCUCCAUAAUUCAUGUCCAAGAACACGGGUACACAUUACCAGUCAACCAGUGUGAUCCGACUCAACCGGAAAUGUGCAGUGACGAAAAGCUAUUGAUUCCUGGGAGGGUGUUAUUCCAGACGGAGAACCAUUGUAGAGAGGGGAGGACAGGGAGGCAGAGGGAGGGAAGAGAAACAUUGCUUGUCGAUGGAGCAGAAUGGAGGAGAAAAGGAGGAGCAGAUUGUAGACUUUUCAUUCACCAGAAAUUUCAUUCAAGUGGCUGUUAUAAAAGUGAAUUGCUUCCUGAGUCCCCCAUUCAUCCCACGACUCUUCGCCAUUUCUCAUGUUCUCUGACGAGGGAGAGGCGACCCCGUCAACACGACAUUCCUGUAUUCUUCGUUCACGGCAAUUCCUUCACGUGACUGUUUCCAUGAUUCAAGUGCAACCUGCGCUGCCACGACUUCCUGUGUUUCUUUGUUGUGCUUUGGGAAUUUUGUGACACUUUCGUUUUGCUCAAGAUACUGCAAUAUUUCAGCCUUAUGAUAUUCCUUGUGCGCAAACACCACCACGCCAGUAACGUUGUGCUGCUCUCUCCCGUGCCUCUGGGUGUGACGUCCGCUGGGCAGGACGGAGGAGACUAAGUUUUCGACGGAACCUUGCGGUCCCCAUGUCGGUGCCCCCGUCCGCUUCGCACGAGGGAAGUGGGCCAUGGACGCUUUUCCGCUGGGGGAGCUCUGGCCGGUUCCAGGUGGGUGGACGGGGCUCAGGGGAGUGACAUGUGGGUGAUGGACAAAGUGAGGGUGAGGGCAAUACUCUAGGUGGGUUAGUAGUGCUUCCCCAUUGCCUGUCUCAAGGCUCCUUGUGCUCUUAACGCUUUCCACUCGUAACGCAUACACACACACACACACACACACACACACACACGCGCGCGCGCGCGCGUACUCGCACACGCACGCACACAUACGCGCACACACACACACACACACACGACCUUUCACAGAAAUGCUCGCCAGCGUCUCCGAGGCCGUCGACACGUCCAGAGGGGAACUUCGCCAUCCCCGGGAAUGAGCGGCAGGCGCAGGAGUACCACCACAGAGCCACUAUUGUCGGCGUGCUGGUCCUUCGCAUCGACUGGAGCGCCAGGAGCCACGACCUCGCUGACUACUGAGGACAGCCACGAUGGGGUCUGAGCCAGGAGACCGUCAUGUGGCUGACUACUCAGAGCGUCCGUCGUGCCCACAGUGCAGGCGUUGUGGAUGUUGAAAACUCCACCCACACCGAAGCCCGCCCAGCCCAGUGCUCCGUCAGCAUGCACGCUAUGAAAGACGCGGCCAACCUACCCCAGCUGGCGACCCCCAGCUUCCUGGUCGACGUGAUGUCCCUGAUGGGCGGCGGGGGCAGCGUCACUCCCGAGGGGCUGGACGAGCCCGGCACCCUCGUCGUGCCUGACCAGCACGACUAAAACUCCACAAGGCUACGCGGUGUGCUGGUUGUGUCGGCUGUGUGGCGGUGGUGGUGGUGGAGGGUGUGGAAACAGGUGAGACGUGUGGUGGUAGGAGAGGUGGGGAAUGCGGAAGUUCGAGAGACAAAGAUAAGAGGGUUGGUGAUGGUGAUGCUGGCGGUGGUAGUGGUGGUGUUGACUGUGAUGGUGGCGGUUAGCAGUAGUGGCAGUGGUGGUACUACUUGCGGUGGUGAUGGUAGUGUUGCUGGGGGCAAAAAAAAGUGGUGGUAGCAGAGAUUGUGUUGUUGGCGGUGGUGGUGUCGAACGAAGUGGUGGUGGUGCCAGUUAGCGGCGGCGGUGGUGGUGGUGAUGGGGGCGGAGCAGAAUGGGCUAACCCACCACACCUCGAGGGGCGGGCAAGAUCUGGUCGUCUGGGUGUGGUGUUCCCUUGGCUGGCAACACCUUGUUCUAGUCACUGUUCAUUGCAUUUUGUCCACGAGAAGUUUCCUUGCGUGCCGGUGUAUUUUCUUUUUUAGUGAGUGUAAAUUUCUUUCUUUACUUUUUUUGUUAUCUUUUGUGCAUUGUGAUGCGCGCAUGUAAUUCUCUCUUGCCAUGUUCUUGGUUCUUGAGUCUUGACAUCCUCAUCUUGGGUUAUGAAUACUUUACUCACUCUAUUACACUUCUUCCGCGAUCUUUUCCGUUUCGUGAGUCCGAUACAGUGAUUGUUAUUCGUUGCCACCACGCACGAGUGCUCUUAUUCUUUACUCCAAACUGUCCUCAUCUUGUAAUUAUUAUAUAUAUUUGUUCAAUAAAAUUCCUGAUCCUAA